UCUUUUUCCCUAGAGGUGUCUUCUCCAGCUCGUCCUGUGUCUCCUCCAUCCCUGCUGGUCCUGUCUCCCUCCCAGACUCCGCCCUCUGGGAGCGAGGCCACCAUCGUGUGCCUCGCUCGGGGUUUCUACCCUGACGAUGCCACCCUGUCCUGGUCCGAGGACGGCACCGCCAUGGCGGGUCCUGAGGUCCAGAUGAGCGCAUCUUGGCGUCAGGCUGACGGCACGUUCUUCCGGAGCAGCUUCCUGAAACUCAGUGCGGAAAGCUGGAGCUCCGGACGCACCUACACCUGCACCGUGAGCCACUCGGCCCUGGCCAGCCCUGUGAGCUCCAGCGCUGGGGUGGAGCAGUGUGGGUAGAGCAACCUCACAAUACUGAAAUACAAAGAACAGUAUUUCCCAGGUUUACUUCUAAUUCAGAGGUUUGAGACUAGUAGCUUAGUUGGCCAUGUUGUUCUUGUCCAGUACAGGACACAGGAAAACCUGCUUCACAGCCCAAAGCACCAAUGAAAGAAUGUAAUUUUCUUACUGUACAUUUCUAUUAUGCAAGGGAUUGCAUCUGUACUGCUCAGUGUUACUGAAUAAAACUCUUUCAUCAUA